AUUAUUUUAGCAGAUGAAGGUAGCGUUUAAUCGACAUCGUUUCUAUUAAAAGUGAAAUGUAUUUUGUAGCUGGCAUUUUUGUUGUUCUGUUCCUGAGUAUCUUAGGAGGAAUAAGUGCUCUAAAUACUUGUGACAAGACUAUAAUUGAAAACAUUUACAAUAUAAAUAACCACCCACAAUGCAUUCUGGAAGCGGGAUACGAGUUGGGACAUCUCACCUUCUGGGCCCUCCCCAGGGAGGAUCUGACGGGGGGUCUCCGGACUGAAGUGUAUCGAAUCAUAUUUAGACCCUCCAUCCGGCAAAUGUGCCUCUGGACACGUAAUUUACCAUUUCUCUAACGGGACAUCCAUUGUAAUAAACUACACAUAUUACGACGAAGGAAAUGGACACAUUAAGGAAUUCGAUGAGAGUGGCAACGAGUUCAAUCUCUACUUCUUUAAUAUCGACAAUACGUCUUGCUACUAUCGCUGUGUCACUAGUAAAGAAGACGGAUGGCCCUUUGCUGGUGUCGCAGUGUCGAUAGGGACACAGAACGAUCCGGUUGUAGCGGAUGCUGUGGCGGAGUGCAAGAAGAAGAUCGAGAUCGUGGGCAUUCCAGUGGAUUUGGUGGAUCUCACUUUGUGCACUAGCUGUUAAACUGUGGACUCACGUACUGUCACAUGGUGGAGCUGUCACAUACGACAGUCACAUUAAAUACGUCAUUGUUGAUGUUGUAA